GCCGGAGUGGCGAAACUGGCAGACGCGCGGGACUCAAAAUCCCGUACAGGCAACUGUGUGUGGGUUCGACCCCCUCCUCCGGCACCA
rnacentral:tRNA from 1 species